rnacentral:lncRNA from 1 species
CGUAUCAAUGUCUAUUUUUGGAUGUUAGGUAAUGUGGUUUACAACUACUAUCCACAUGCACGGUAUCAAGGGGCACAGGCUUGUGAUGGGAUUUCAAAAGGUAAUAUUUAAAUAUUUUUUUAUUCUAUGUUGCAGCCUAUUAUCCUUGUAUCUGCAAUUUAUUCGUGUUUACUCGAGGUUAAUGUAGCUUUGGUUCAAGUUUAGCAUUUUCUAAUAGGAAUAAAAAAUAAAUCGUUGAAGCAACAAAAUGUUGUCAAUGUUAAAUGUGUGAUUCCGUGCCAAAAUUGAUGUUGAAGAAAUGGAAGAUGAGUGCACACCACCAACUGCCAAUGAGGCUUCCAGUUCAAGAGUAGCACUGGUAGAUGCUAGAAAUUGCACAGACGUUAGGACAUUGAAACAUACUGUCUAUUUUUUUGAAGAUAACAUGGAUCUUAAAAAGUAGUUUGUUGCUGGUUUUGGUUUUUCAAGGAAGCAUGCGUAAUUAUUUACUAUUUGAUUGAUUGAUGUAUAUGAUGAUAUUGUUAGUUGUAUAUCAAUCUAGUUCUUGUGAUAUUAUGUA